rnacentral:RNase_P_RNA from 1 species
GCGGAUGGCCGGAUGACCGCGGGUCCUUCGGGGCGCGAGGAAAGUCCGGACUCCAUGAAGCUGCGGUGCCGGGUAACGCCCGGCCGGGGAAACCCGAGGGAAAGCGCCACAGAGAAGAGACUACCCCGGCCUGUCCGGGGAAAAGGUGAAACGGUGGGGUAAGAGCCCACCGCGGGACUGGCAACAGGACCGGCACGGCAAGCCCCACCGGGAGCAAUGCCAAAUAGGGACCUCGCGCGGGGGCCGGUCUGCGCGCAAGCGCAGAGACCGCCCGCAGGGACGCUUCAGCCCGAGAGGUCCGGGUUGGCAGCUUGAUCCCGCCGGUAACGGCGGGGCGAGAGGAAUGGUCAUCGAACCCCGGAUCAAGGUCCGGGGGGAACAGAAUCCGGCUUACAGGCCGUCCGCGCAU